UCACUGUUUCCUCCACAGUUCCUCAUGCUAAGAAUCAAGAACAUUAUUUAGGGGACACUCUGGAGAUGAAGUCUUCUCCAGCCUUAGUGACUGUGGUACUCUUAGUGCUUGGACGAGCCCAUGGAGACUCAGUGUCCCAGAUGGAAGGCCCAGUGACUCUCUCAGAAGGGAGUUCCCUGAAUGUGAGCUGCUCUUAUGAAGCCUCAGGGAACCCCACUCUCUUCUGGUAUGUUCAGUACCCCAGAGAAGGUCCACAGCUCCUUCUGAAAGCCUUCAUCAAUGGUGAGAAGGGACGCAACAAAGGUUUUGAAGCCACCUACCACAAAGAAUCAAAAUCAUUCCACCUGGAGAAAGCCUCUGUCCACGAGUCAGAUUCGGCUAUGUACUACUGUGCUCUGAGUGACACAGUGACAGAAACUGCAGGGGGAGCUGCGCACAAACUGAGCAGCACUAGAGCCUGGCUGCUGAGUGUCUCUGACUAUCUCACCUAG